rnacentral:misc_RNA from 1 species
GAUGAAGAACGUAGCGAAAUGCGAUAGGUAAUGUGAAUUGCAGAAUUCAGUGAAUCAUCGAGUCUUUGAACGCACAUUGCGCCCCCUGGUAUUCCGGGGGGCAUGCCUGUCCGAGCGUCAUUGCUGCCCUCAAGCCCGGCUUGUGUGUUGGGUCUCGUCCCCCUUCCCGGGGGGACGGGCCCGAAAGGCAGCGGCGGCACCGUGUCCGGUCCUCGAGCGUAUGGGGCUUUGUCACCCGCUCUGUAGGCCCGGCCGGCGCUUGCCGAUCAACCAAAACUUUUUUCCAGGUUGACCUCGGAUCAGGUAGGGAUACCCGCUGAACUUAAGCAUAUCAAUAAGCGGAGGA